rnacentral:miRNA from 1 species
GUUACCGCUUCCGCUACCGC